GACGAACGCUGGCGGCGUGCCUAAUACAUGCAAGUGGGACGCAAGGGAACACACUGUGCUUGCACACCGUGUUUUCUUGAGUCGCGAACGGGUGAGUAACGCGUAGGUAACCUGCCUAUUAGCGGGGGAUAACUAUUGGAAACGAUAGCUAAUACCGCAUAAUAUUAAUUAUUGCAUGAUAAUUGAUUGAAAGAUGCAAGCGCAUCACUAGUAGAUGGACCUGCGUUGUAUUAGCUAGUUGGUAAGGUAAGAGCUUACCAAGGCGACGAUACAUAGCCGACCUGAGAGGGUGAUCGGCCACGCUGGGACUGAGACACGGCCCAGACUCCUACGGGAGGCAGCAGUAGGGAAUCUUCGGCAAUGGACGAAAGUCUGACCGAGCAACGCCGCGUGAGUGAAGAAGGUUUUCGGAUCGUAAAGCUCUGUUGUAAGUCAAGAACGUGUGUGAGAGGGAAAGUUCACAC
rnacentral:rRNA from 1 species